CAUAAUAAAAUUGCAUUGUAUUUUACAGAAGUUCAAAGGAAAAUGAAGCGAUUGAUAUUUGGAUUUGCGACGAAGUUAGUUUCGUCUAAACAAAUAUAAAAUAUUUUAUAAUUACCAGCAUCGACACCAGUUUCGGCUAUACAAGAAUCCUUGUAUUCCUUAAGUUUGGCCUUUUGUUCAUCGUAAACAGCUCGAUCGUAAAUUGUAUAAUCAUCAAAUGACUGCUGCUGUCUUCUUAUAGUCUUUUAAUGGGGGGAUGUAUUUGAUUGAAGAAACAAA
rnacentral:lncRNA from 1 species